UUUUUAUUUUAUUUAAUUUUUUCCCGCAGACGAACGCUGGCGGCGUGCCUAAUACAUGCAAGUCGAACGCUUCUUUUUCCACCGGAGCUUGCUCCACCGGAAAAAGAGGAGUGGCGAACGGGUGAGUAACACGUGGGUAACCUGCCCAUCAGAAGGGGAUAACACUUGGAAACAGGUGCUAAUACCGUAUAACAAUCGAAACCGCAUGGUUUUGAUUUGAAAGGCGCUUUCGGGUGUCGCUGAUGGAUGGACCCGCGGUGCAUUAGCUAGUUGGUGAGGUAACGGCUCACCAAGGCCACGAUGCAUAGCCGACCUGAGAGGGUGAUCGGCCACAUUGGGACUGAGACACGGCCCAAACUCCUACGGGAGGCAGCAGUAGGGAAUCUUCGGCAAUGGACGAAAGUCUGACCGAGCAACGCCGCGUGAGUGAAGAAGGUUUUCGGAUCGUAAAACUCUGUUGUUAGAGAAGAACAAGGAUGAGAGUAACUGUUCAUCCCUUGACGGUAUCUAACCAGAAAGCCACGGCUAACUACGUGCCAGCAGCCGCGGUAAUACGUAGGUGGCAAGCGUUGUCCGGAUUUAUUGGGCGUAAAGCGAGCGCAGGCGGUUUCUUAAGUCUGAUGUGAAAGCCCCCGGCUCAACCGGGGAGGGUCAUUGGAAACUGGGAGACUUGAGUGCAGAAGAGGAGAGUGGAAUUCCAUGUGUAGCGGUGAAAUGCGUAGAUAUAUGGAGGAACACCAGUGGCGAAGGCGGCUCUCUGGUCUGUAACUGACGCUGAGGCUCGAAAGCGUGGGGAGCAAACAGGAUUAGAUACCCUGGUAGUCCACGCCGUAAACGAUGAGUGCUAAGUGUUGGAGGGUUUCCGCCCUUCAGUGCUGCAGCUAACGCAUUAAGCACUCC
rnacentral:rRNA from 1 species